AUUGAACGCUGGCGGCAUGCCUUACACAUGCAAGUCGAACGGCAGCACGGGUGCUUGCACCUGGUGGCGAGUGGCGAACGGGUGAGUAAUACAUCGGAACAUGUCCUGUAGUGGGGGAUAGCCCGGCGAAAGCCGGAUUAAUACCGCAUACGAUCCACGGAUGAAAGCGGGGGACCUUCGGGCCUCGCGCUAUAGGGUUGGCCGAUGGCUGAUUAGCUAGUUGGUGGGGUAAAGGCCUACCAAGGCGACGAUCAGUAGCUGGUCUGAGAGGACGACCAGCCACACUGGGACUGAGACACGGCCCAGACUCCUACGGGAGGCAGCAGUGGGGAAUUUUGGACAAUGGGCGAAAGCCUGAUCCAGCAAUGCCGCGUGUGUGAAGAAGGCCUUCGGGUUGUAAAGCACUUUUGUCCGGAAAGAAAUCCUUGGCUCUAAUACAGUCGGGGGAUGGCGGUACCGGAAGAAUAAGCACCGGCUAACUACGUG
rnacentral:rRNA from 1 species